GAAACAUUUCCGAACAACUUAUUUUGGAUCAACGGAUCUCCACUGUUGGCAAUGCAUGCACAUGAAAUAUAUAUAUUUAUAAAUUUUUACGGUAUAUGGGUGAAAAUAGGCCUCCUGGG